rnacentral:tRNA from 1 species
GGGUCGUUAGCUCAGUUGGUAGAGCAGUUGACUUUUAAUCAAUUGGUCGAAAAGCGCCCUA